rfam:Slackia sp. CM382 contig00011, whole genome shotgun sequence.
CGGGAUGUGGCGCAGUUUGGUAGCGCGCCUGCUUUGGGAGCAGGAUGUCGCAGGUUCGAAUCCUGUCAUCCCGA